CCGAACCACGCCGUCGUAUGUUGGUGUCACAAACAGUGAAAGGCUUAUCGGCAAUGCUGCUGAGAACCAGGUUGUGGUAAACCCUACCAACACCAUUUUUGGUGGCGAAUCGUUUGAGGACUGGAAAUAUGGAGCAAGUCAAAAAUAAGAAGCUAACAUAGCUACAUAAAGCAAAAACUAUAGUAUAAGAGUAGAAAAUAUUCGUAAUAGAAUUCAUAACACUUACCUUUUUUUUUCUUUCUUAUGAGUGUAUUUUUUUCUUGGGUAAAUAGCACUUAACCCCCUUGUGGUUUGAAUAUUUUGCACAAGACCUCCUUAUGGUAUGAAUUUAUUCACAUAACCCCCUUGUGGUUUUGACAUUUUGCA